CUGCUCUUGUUCAUUUGCAAACGGAGGGAGGUCUAGCAGCUUCACAGUCUCACAGUCAUCCACAGUGAUGUUGCGGUUAUGAAAAGCCAAGGACUCUCUGAUGAGAAUGCACCAGAUGACCUCAGCAAAGAUCAUACUGACAUCCACAGUCUUGAUUUCUGGACACUGCUGCUUCUGCACCACAUGAUGCACACUGUGGGUCAACACCAGCUGGAGGUGCAAUACAGCAACCUUAAUUGUUUCAGUCUUCUAUGACUAUAGGGACUUUGUUGCUCUGAGUAUAGGCUUUCACUGUAACAUCUUCUCAAGUUAAAAUCGAAAUCCAGCUAAAUUAAGUUCAAGUCUGUCUGUCAUCAGGAAAAUAAUCUAUUAAAAUGUAUUUUUGUGUCA